rnacentral:lncRNA from 1 species
UCAUAUCUACCUAUCUCUGAGCCACUAGCGGAGUCUUCAUCAUCGGAGAGUAAAGAGACAGCUUCGUCUUCCAAAGUUUUUGCUUUUUCAAUAUCCGUUGAGAGGUUGAAGCCACAAACGUGCACUUCAUUGAGAGUUUCUCUUCAGGAUUGUCGCCUAGCAUGAUCGACCUUAUUUCACACCCCUUUUCUACCCCCAAAAGAAGAUGUAUGUUGGAUUAUGGGUUAAAGAGUUUUUCCAAUUAAAGUGACAAAACUUGAGUAGGAUUAUUUUAUUAUUCAAAGUCGUCACUUGAAAAUGAUUUUUGGGUGUUCCAAGUCGCGUUCUAUUUGAAUUCAUAGUCAAAGGAAGUUGUGACUCUACCAUUUUUGGCCUACGAAAAUAAAGUUCGGGUAAAAAAUUAUGUUGAUUGGGGAGAAGGUGCAAGGCAUUUCCCCGAGUCACGUGGUUCUAGCAC